rnacentral:rRNA from 1 species
UAGAAUUGACGGGACCGCACAAGCGGUGAUGAUGUGGUUUAAUCGAUGCAACGCGAAAACCUUACCUACCCUUGACAUGUCCGGAAUCCCGAAGAGAUUUGGGAGUGCUCGCAAGAGAACCGGAACACAGGUGCUGCAUGGCUGUCGUCAGCUCGUGUCGUGAGAUGUUGGGUUAAGUCCCGCAACGAGCGCAACCCUUGUCAUUAGUUGCCAUCAUUUGGUUGGGCACUCUAAUGAGACUGCCGGUGACAAACCGGAGGAAGGUGGGGAUGACGUCAAGUCCUCAUGGCCCUUAUGGGUAGGGCUUCACACGUCAUACAAUGGUCGGUACAGAGGGUUGCCAACCCGCGAGGGGGAGCUAAUCCCACAAAGCCGAUCGUAGUCCGGAUCGCAGUCUGCAACUCGACUGCGUGAAGUCGGAAUCGCUAGUAAUCGUGGAUCAGCAUGUCACGGUGAAUACGUUCCCGGGUCUU